rnacentral:rRNA from 1 species
ACUCAAAUGAAUUGACGGGGGCCCGCACAAGCGGUGGAGCAUGUUGUUUAAUACGUCACUAACCGUAGAACCUUACCAGGGUUUGACAUCCGCUGCACCAGUAUGAAAGUACUGUCUGGAGCAAUCCAGCGGCGAGACAGGUGUUGCAUGGCUGUCGUCAGCUCGUGUCGUGAGAUGUUGGGUUAAGUCCCGCAACGAGCGCAACCCUCAUCCCAUGUUGCCAUCGGGUGAAGCCGGGCACUCUUGGGAAACUGCCGGGGUAACUCGGAGGAAGGUGAGGACGACGUCAAGUCAGCAUGGCCCUUACACCCUGGGCUACAAACAUGCUACAAUGGACGGUAGACAAAGGGAUCCGAGACCGCGAGGUGGAGGCAAUCUCAAAAAUCCGUUCUCAGUUCGGAUCGCAGGCUGCAACUCGCCUGCGUGAAGCCGGAAUCGCUAGUAACCGCAGGUCAGCUAAACUGCGGUGAAUACGUUCCCGGGCCUUGUACACACCGCCCGU